GGGCCCAUAGCUCAGCUUGGUAGAGGAACACAGCUCCAAAAGGAGAGGUUUCGCCGUAAGCAACGGACUCUUAAUCCGUGGGUCGAGGGUUCAAAUCCCUCUGGGCCCG
rnacentral:tRNA from 1 species